rnacentral:lncRNA from 1 species
AACUCAUCCCCCGCAGAAGCUGAGUUGAGAUUUCACUCUGGGGGAGCCAGACUUGUGGGUGUCUAGGCUGGAUAGGAUUCCAGCAUGUUCCUUUCUGGAUUGCCAUGGGAAGAGUUAUUAAGGAACGGGCACUCGUCAAAGGAACUAUGGCUGCCGAUGAGGAGACAACUUUAACUCCUGUGCUGGGUAUAAAUAUGCAAGUGCUGACAUGGGCUGCAUUUUUCAAUUUUAUGGCCAAGUGACGUCUACAGCCGACUGAUAAAUGGAAGCUUUGAGGAGGGGGCUUGCCACAAUCCAGCCUGGCAUGAAAGGGUCCCAAGGAAAGGUAGCGAUGGGGUAUUGAGUCAGUGGUGAAACCAAAGCUUAUUUAUCUUUGGCAAUUCUUCUGUCUAUGACUCUUUGCUAUUCUAAGGCCAAAUGCCUUUGGUUUCUGGAUGUCUGCCCAACAAGGUAAGCUAAUGCCCAGGAAUCAUUAGGCUACGUAGUGGUGACAGAAAAGGCACAUCAGCUGCUUUUAAGAAGCAAUCCUAAGAUGAAGUCUGACCUUGCCUCUCAGAGCUCAUCCAUCAUAAGCUAUGCGAAAACACUUCUGUUUUGACCGAAAGCAAACAAGAGGCUAAAUUCCAGGAUUAGGAUGCUGGGCAUGAGAAGAACACAUUUGAUGCCUGGCGCUCAUGCUCAGAUGCUGCGGCCCUCAAAGCUACCUGUCUUUCUGAGUGCCCCGAGGGCCAGCUAGGGCCCUGACCUGUGCAUGCGCCAUCCAGAAACCUGUCUUCUAGACAAGCCUCUGUGUGACUGUUUCUGGACAGUUUAUUUGUUCUGAAUGUUUUAAAAUUUGGGCAAAAGAGAAUUGAAGCACAAAAGUGU